GACGAACGCUGGCGGCGUGCCUAAUACAUGCAAGUCGAGCGAUGCAGCUGGGUGCUUGCACCAAUUUGAAGAGCAGCGAACGGGUGAGUCACGCGUGGGGAAUCUGCCUUUGAGCGGGGGACAACUUCUGGAUACGAAUGCUAAUACCGCAUAACAACUUUAUACAUAAGUUUUAAGUUUGAAAGAUGCAAUUGCAUCACACAAAGAUGAUCCCGCGUUGUAUUAGCUAGUUGGUGAGGUAAAGGCUCACCACGGCGAGGAUACAUAGCCGGCCUGAGAGGGUGAGCGGCCACAUUGGGACGGGGACACGGCCCAACAGCCUACGGGAGGCAGCAGGAGCGAAUCUUCAGCGAAGGAAGAAAGGCUGACCGAUGAACGCUGCGUGAGUGAAGAAGGUUGUCGUAUCGUGAGACUCUGUUAGUAGAGAAGAACGUUAGUGAGUGUGGAAAGCUCAUCAAGUGACGGUAACUACCCAGAAAGGGACGGCUAACUACGUG
rnacentral:rRNA from 1 species